CGCACCGGAGAGUGAACCGGAGACCCAUGCGACGGCAGAGGGAGGAACCCGGUGAGAGUCCGGGGCGGUCCCGCCACUGUCACCCUCCUUGCCAGGGAGGGGAGCCAGGAACUCCGGCCGUCGCGACCACAC
rnacentral:ncRNA from 2 species